UUUGACAAGCAUGCUCGGUUUUACUUAAUAAGUCCAAAGAAAUUUUAAUAUUUUAGUUUCGACCCCGUUUGGUCACUGAAAACUGUACCGAACUGCAAUCUUUAUCAGAUAGCUUUCGGAUUCUAUUUCUCUCUCUACGGGUGUCAGAAUGGUAUGAAACUUUAAAUCUAGCCUCUUUUCAUAAUUUUCUGACAUUGUGCAUUUUCUGCUAAUUUAUCUGCCCCGUUUCUCACAGAAAAUGCUAAAUCUUCUGUUUUCGCUCCGAUUUCAGCACAGGUCACUCCCAACCUAUAUUUCGCUUCUCUAAAUCCGAUAAAAUAGUAUCUCAUACUAGUUUUAUUUAUUUUCACUUUUCUACUUAAAAUCCGGUAUGUUACAUUCCACCACAACCUCACUGGAACCAUUUAAAUGUACACCGUGACUUCAUGAUUUUAGAAGU
rnacentral:lncRNA from 1 species